UAACUUCGUUACCGUGACGAAUUAGCAAAUAAUUGAGUUUCUGCAGUAACGCAGGUGUAUCACAGGUGUGGGAUCACGCACACAGGGCGUGAUUCACAGGUGUAUGGUAAGUACUUAUAGUGCUACAGGAGUAGUCUGUUCAUUCGACGCUUGGCACGACACCCAGGAAGCAACAAGGAUUUUCUACUUCUCGCAUCAAGAUGGAGGCACAGGCGGUCCACCAGGCCAUUGAAGUUUACAACCGCUCUUUUCUGUUCGCCAUGUCUAAACUGAACUGACGAAAGAACACAAAGAGACAGUUCUGGACUCCUAGAAUGAAGGUGAGGAAUUUCGUUCCGAUAGAAAGGUUUUCUAAUGGCUGAUAAAUCAGACGCCGGCUGGCUAACCGUUUUAGAUUAGUUUCGGAAGGAGGUAGCGGAUAACAUUGCAAUCAAAAGCGUAUGUUCAACAAUUGUACUUGCAUUGGAGCUAAGAAAGGCAAGAAAUACUGAAUGGAAGGAUAAGGAAGCCGCUAACCAGGCAAUUGAUUUUUCCAGCUAUUUCUUUUCAGGUACUUGGUAUCGCUCUUCUUCAAGCAACAAGAAUCCCGGAUUAUGAAUUGCUUACAGAGGAGAAAAAUUGAGGAUUACUUCCCACAAUAUAAGUACUUACAGAAGCGUGUGCAUCUAUUGCAUUCAAGCAAGAGAGUUUGAUUUGAUUUUUGUUUCGAAUUCCACAGGCUGGGGCUUCGGAAUGCUUCCAGGUUUGCCUGAUAAUGCCAGUGCUGUCAAUAACCGUGUUUUUGUUUCCACUGCAGUUUUUGAUCUUGGAAGCUUGGACGCAUUUAAGAAGUUUCAAAGUGUCCUUUUGUAUGCAAUCCCUUUUCUAUAGCUACGCAUCCAUCAGGUAAAUAAGACUUUUUCUUGUUCUAUGGUACGCACAUUAAUUUGUGCUCUAACGUAUGUCCCAGUGUCUGGACUUGAGCAGCAAAAGAAUUUGGGAAAACGUAAGCAGGGCACGUUUGCUCAGGUAAUUUCGAAAUUGAUUCUUAUCCAGGUAAAUGUGUCUGGGAACCAUUACUAUAUUAUGUUGGCCAAGAGCAAUGGUCAGUUGGUAAGGGUUUAAGUUGUUGGUGUCGAUACAAUGUGAACAUGUUGUAUUCUGUUUUAGUAGAUUUGUUUUAGCUGUAGAAAGAGACGUACACAAUGCCUGUUAUACACGUGGCUAUUAUCGAAGAUCAGGUAGGUUUGAAUGCCUGGUUGAUUUUAGGAUUAUGAUGAGAUAGAUGUAUUCUGUGAUGAAAUCACGUUAAUUAUGGUACUGUAAAGUGCUAGACUACAUAGCUAUGAGAAAAAAAAAUUCUUUAUGAGUAUUUUAUGUUCAAUGAAUUGUUUUCCGGUUUCGGAAGAUGCGCGUUUGGUGUAUUCCUAUGUGACUUCGGAAUGUCAUGGUGGUGAUUUUGUGAUUUAGUGACAAUUCACGGUGAUGGGUGACGUAAUUGAACACAAGUUGGUUGCAGUGUUCUUCAGUGAGAAGAAUUGGACAUACGUUGGUGGAACAGUUCUUCAGUGAAAAGACUGGUGUACGUCUGGAGUAAUGACACACAAGUUUGUUGAGGUGUUUUUCAGUGAGAAGACUUUGUGAUGUAUGUCUGACGUAAUGAUACGCAAGUUCGUUAUGGUGUUUUACGGUGAGAACACGUACAUCGCGAUGUAUGUCUAGCUCAUUGAAAUGUUCUUCAAUGAGAAGAAAUUGCCAUUGUUUUACAAGUGUGAAGUUUGAUGUAAUUGCACACAAGUUGAAGAGUUCUUCAGUGAGAGGACUUUGUGAUUUGUCUGAUAUUAUGACAAUCGAGUUCGUUGAGAUGUUCUUCAGUGAUUAGACUGUGAUGUACGUCUGGCGUAAUGACACGCAAGUGCUUUUGGGUGUUUUACGGUGAGAACACAUUGUGAUGUAUGUCUAGUUCAUUGAAGUGUUCUUCAAUGAGAAGAAAUUCACAUGUGAAGUUUGAUGUAAUUGCGCACAAGUUCUUCAAUGUUCUUCAAUGAGAAGACACCGUGAUGUAUGUCUGAGGUAACGACACACAAGAUAGUUGAAGCGAUCUUCAGUGAGAAGACUGUGAUGUUAUGACAAGCAAGUUCAUUGAUGUUUUUUCGGUGAUAAGUCUUUGUGAUGCAUGUUUGGCGUUAUGAUACGCAAGUUCACUGUAGUGUUUUUCAGUGAGAAAACAUCGUGAUGUAUGUCUGAUGUAAUGACACACUAGAUCGUUGAAGUGUUAUUCAAUGAGAAGAUUUUGUGAAGUAUGUCUGACAUCAUUUCACACAGGUUGGUGUAAGAGUUCUUCGGAGAGAAGACUUUGUGAUUUAUGUGUGAAGUAAUCGAACACAAGUUGAUUGAAGAGUUCUUCAGUGAGAAGACAUUGUGGUGUUUGUGUGAUGUUAUAAUGUCAUGAUGGAACACUAAAGCAGGGCAGGCCGUUGAAUGGCCCAGCUAUGUUAAUGCUGUCUCUUGAUGCCCAGUGCAGGCCGUUGAUUGGCCCAGCUAUGUUUAUGCUGUCUGUUAUUUGAUGCCCAGUGAGUGUGAUGAAAAUGCACACAAGUUGAUUGAAGAGUUGUUCAGUGAGAAGACAUUGUGGUGUUUGUGUGAUGUAAUAGUGUCAUGAGUGGACACUAAGGCAGGGCAGGCCGUUGAAUGGCCCAGCUAUGUUAAUGCUGUCUCUUGAUGCCCAGGGCAGGCCGUGGAUUGGCCCAGCUAUGUGAAUGCUGUGAUUUGCCCAGUGACUGUGUUAUGUUGGCUUUUUAUUGUAGCGCCCACGGUAACGAUUUGUCUUAAUCGGGAUUAGUAUAGGAGUAAUUAGUAUUCAGCAUACUUAUUUUUGUGUUGAAGAUAAUUAACAUUUGUUUUUAUUAUUUCUCUUCCUACAUAUUCCCGUCUGAGCUGACUUGUACAAGCUCGGUAUCUGAGAAGACGCUGCAGAGCUGAUGGAUACAUAUCUGAUGGAGCUGGCAGGGAAAUUACCCAGUUUCUGUAGCUUCGAGAGUACCUAAAACUGUGGCGCAAUAAAGGGCUGCGUUCAACAAGUGGCGUGAGUUUGCCAGUAUAUUACCGAAAGUGGUAGUUUCAAAGCACUUCCUCUUUAUGUAGCAUUGUGUUUAUGGGAACUUGUGAUACAACAUUUUUCAUCUGUUUCUUCCAUAGAGAAGGCUGCAUUCGCCAACAGAAGAGCUCAUAUGCCCAAUAACUCCUGAUAUGUUGGUCAUGCUGGUACAGGAACACACUUUGGGUCAUGUUUGCACAGGAACAUAACACAAUUUAUUCAAACUUAGUUCUAUAAGGACGUUUACUUUUCUCUCGACUUCUUCUGCAGGUUUGCUGAGGAACAUCGAAUUUUACAAUGGUUAUCAUGUAAUUUUUCUCUAUCUGAGAAGUGAUUGUGUUUGUUUUAGGAUCAAGGAAGACUGAUCAGUAUAGAGAUGGCAGCUCGGCACCUAUUGCACGCACAGGAAAGGUCAACUGCCCAGUCAACAUGUUGCAGAAGUCUUGUACAUUGGCUUGUAUAGAUCUCUCAUCUGACAGAUUCCUUUUCAGAAGUAUCACACAAGAACCAAAUCAGGCUCCAAGUUAAGCACUUCUGGGCGUCCUAGUUAUGAUACAGCUGGAGAGUUGGACCUCGACAUGCAAAAGACUGUUGUUAAUGAUGUUUCUUGUUUGUGGCUACAUUCCCUUUCAGGUUUUCCAGACAGACUGUAUAACAGAUACGGAAGGUGGAUCAUUGAAGGAGAGGUCGGCUGUUUAUAUGGCGAUAGACUUUUAAUCUUGCAUGAAACUUUCCCGUGAUUUGUUCGUUCGACGCGAUGCGGUGCGGUGUCCACGCACUCGCGCCCAUCCUAACACCUGUGUUGGUGUUUCUCUGUGUGUGCGAAGAGUAUGAAUGCAUCGUGAGGGAGAACUGUGUAGGGGUGAUGCAGAAAAUGAUAAUUAUUUGCGUUUGAGGAACUAACUUCGUUACCGUGACGAAUUAGCAAAUAAUUGAGUUUCUGCAGUAACGCAGGUGUAUCACAGGUGUGGGAUCACGCACACAGGGCGUGAUUCACAGGUGUAUGGUAAGUACUUAUAGUGCUACAGGAGUAGUCUGUUCAUUCGACGCUUGGCACGACACCCAGGAAGCAACAAGAUCGUUGUUUAAGGUAAUGAAAUGUUUGUUAGUGUAGCAAGUUUCUGCCUUUGGCGAAAGUGACUGAUACUUGGUGUUUUGUAUUUAACAGUCCAAUAUAAUCACUUCUUUGAACUAUGUUUUGUGUGUUUCAGGACAUGGAGUGAUUCUUUUCAGAAAGAAACCCCAGAGAAGAUUGGUUGCUUGCGCUAAGGCUCUGGUGCACGUCCCCCAUUUUUUUGGCCUUCGUACUUUCGGGAGGUUUUUUUAGGGGUUGCGUGGCUGGCAAACAACGUAUGCAGCUAUUUAUGCUGUGCUUUACGGCUUGGCUUACUCGAUUACGAAAAAUCGUGAUGUUUGGUAUAUGUUUGGAAUUGGUUUGAUGAUCGUGUUUGGAUAUUGAUGUUUCGGUGUUCUAUUGCAUUUUCGAACUGCCGUUCUCGUUACGAUUGUACCUUUGGCAAAUAAAAGUCUUCCUGCGGUGUCCACGCACUCGCGCCCAUCCUAA